AAGUCGUAACAAGGUUUCCGUAGGUGAACCUGCGGAAGGAUCAAUAACACGUAUCCAACGUUAAAACAACCCUGUGAACCUUCAUCAGUUUUCGCUCAACCCGUGGAAGCAGCAAUCCCUGGUAAAUCAUAGGGACCUCUGCCAGUGCAUGAGAAGUUAAAGUUGAGCUUGAGAACUGCUCAAGUGGCCUGGCAUCCCCAAGUAGUCAGUGUCUGAAAGUGUCACUGAUUAUGUAAGGAUGGCGCAGUAAACGAUCGCUGGAGGCCAUCACGGCCGGCGACCGGGUCACCGGGCUCUGCCCCUUAAUAACUCCUGACAAAACUAUAGCUACGCGUGAAAUUCGCAUAGCAUUAAAAACCGAACAACUGUUAACAAUGGAUAUCUUGGUUCUC
rnacentral:misc_RNA from 1 species